rnacentral:lncRNA from 1 species
CAGAUAAAGGCAUAUCUGCCAGAAUUUAAAAUGACUAACCUAAAGAAAAAAUUGUCCAGACAAAAUGAAUGAACUAGCACCCACUUCUCAUUUCUAAAAAACAUUUUAUGCUGUCGGUUCCAGUUCCCCGAGUUCAAUGAUGCUGCAAUGAUGCUGCCAAAAUAUCAACAACUUAGCAUCCUCUUCGUCGAUUUGAAGCCCCUCCGAUCUCUUAGUCAGGCUCAUUUUCUGUUUGCCUACCUGAUCCCACCGGUUCCUCAGUGUAAGGAGGCAUCGAACCUACCAGGUAAACUUCUUCACCCCUCUUUAGACUUUUGAGGUAUAUUUGAACCGAAUGCUUUGGAAACUUAUUGCUAGCUGUUUAAUGUCUCUAAUAUAUGCCCCAAUUCCUGACUUAUCUAUAUUACUAGACUGACAUUUCUUAAUUAUUGUUAACGCAUCACCUUCGAUUUCAAUCUUUCCCACUCCCAUUUGAAUCCCCAAUCUCAUCGCCUGAGACCAUGCACAAGCCUUUGCAGCGAAUAGAGAAGCUAUGUCCUUCUCCAGUAUCGCUUGGGAUACAAGUACCUCACCUUUGCUGUUUCUAGCUACUAAUCCCGAGGCCAAUCGAAAUUGUUGAGGGUUAUAGGCUACAUCAAAAUUUAUCUGGCUGUAUUGAUUUUCCGGAGGCCUCCAUAUCGAAAACAUAUUUUGUUUGGUAAUGCUUCUAGCCCCCAACUCAUCGAUUUCCUGGAUAUAUCUAAUAAUCCGUUCAGCUAUUCCUCUACCCGAACUAUUUUUGCCUUCAUGAUUUUUUUUUUGUUCCUUUCAAUCCAAAUUUCCCAAAGUGCACAACAAAAGAUUCGACAUUGGUAACUUGAACCUCUUUGAAACACCCAGGUAAGCCAUUCCCAGUUCUCUAGAUUUUCCACCGAUAAAACCCAUUCAAGAUUUAAGUAUUCCAAAUUUCCAUUGAAACAGGGCAUUCUCUAAACACGUGGGCUAUAGUCUCCAUCCCCUAUCUUCACCUAAGACAAAUUGUAUUCACUCGAAUCCUUCUGUGAUGUAGAUUUACUAGGGUUGGUAUGAAAUUCCAAGAGACUUUCCAUACUGUAAUCUUCUGUUUGGUUGUAAGCUCAAGGCUCCAUAGUUUUCUGUAAAAUUUUAUCAUGUCAUUCUAUAAUUCAAUAGUAGUAGAAUCGGUUGUAUUAACAAGCAACAGUUUGUACCCACUCCUGAUCGAAUACUCACCAGAAGCCUCCUCCCUCCAUACCACCAUAUCAUCAUGUUCCACCGAGGCUAAAGGGAUCCUCAGAAUUCUACCUGCAUCAAUUUCAAAAAAGGUAUCCACAAUAAUUGCAACUUUCCAUGUUCUAGUCAUAUUAUCAAUUAAAUAUGAUACCUUUGCUACUUCAGUAUUACUAACAGUUCCACUGAUUCUAUAAUUUACAACUCUUCGGAUCCAUACGGCAUCUACAACAGUGAUCUUGACACCCUUCCCAACCCACCAACAAAGCCCUUUCUCAAGGAGGCCCCUAGCUACCCAUAUACUUUGCGUAUAAGAAGGUAGAUUUCCUAACCUAGCUUUCAAAAAGUCAUAAUUUGGGUAAUAUUUUGCCUUAAACAUGCGUGCUAACAAUGAAAUUUGAUUGCAAAUAAGACGCCAACCUUGUUUUGCUAACAAAGCUAAAUUAAAUUUUGCUAGGCUACGAAAACCUAAACCUCCCUUCUAUUUUAACUCACACAAACCAUUCCAUUCACACCAAUGUAUACCUCUUCUACCAUGUCCUUUCUGCCACUAAAACUUAUUUAUUAUGCCUUCCAAAUCACCAUAAAGCGGCUUUGGUAGCAAAAAAACACAUCAUAGAAUAUGUUGGAAUGACUUGUAAGACGACUUUAAUCAGUACUUCCUUUCCCCCUUGAGACAGAAAUUGUCUACUCCAAUUAUCAAUCUUCUAUUUGACCUUAUCUUUUAAAAUAUGGAAAACCAAUUUCUUCCAUCUUCCCACAUAUUUGGAAGACCCAAAUAGCGUUCUGGAUUAUUCGAAGACCUCACACCUAAAGUUCUCGAGACCGAUAACCUUUCACUGUCGACGAUGUUUGGGCUAAAAAAAUCGUACACUUUUCAUGAUUUAUGCACUGACCUGAACAGAUCUCGUAUUCCUUUAGAACAUCUUUUAAAAUACAGGCUCCCCUUCUAUUUGCCUCACCAAACAAAACGUAACCAUUAGCAAAUAACAAAUGCAUAAUUUGUGCCCCCUUAUGACUGACCGUAGCCCCUUUAAGCAAACCUUCAUUCAAGGCCAAAUUCAUUAAGACAGGCAACCCUUCACUACAAAUUAGAAAGAGCAACGGGCUCAAAGGGUACCUUUGACGAAGCACUCUUCUCGGUUUAAAAAUUUCCCCAACCUCCCUAUUAAUAAUCAUCGAAUAUGAGACAGAAGAAAUGCACUGCAUAAUAAUAUCAAUCCAUGAAAUUGUAAAAACUAUUCUUUCCAUCAUUACUCGAAGAAAACCCCAUUCAACCCAAUCAUACGCUUUGCUUAUAUCUAACUUUAAGGCCAUAAAUCCCUUAUUCCUAACCCAUUUCUAUCUAAAAGAAUGUAAAACCUCAUAGGCUAACAACAUAUUAUUAGAAAUUAGCCUCCCAGGCACAAAGACACUUUGAGCAUUGUUAAUCAUCUAACACUCUUUGGAACCUAUUAGCUAUUGCUUUUGUUAUCAAUUUAUAAAUUUCUAUGCAUAAGCUGAUAGGUCUAAAAUUCUUUAGAUGCAUUGAAUGAGGAACUUUCGAAAUUAAAACAAUAUUUGUGUUGUUUAAGGAAUUUAGCGUCAUAUCUUCAUUCAGCACCUUUAAACAAAGAUAAAAAAUCUCUCUCCCACAAUAUGCCAGCAUUUCUGAAUAAAUAAAGUCAGAAAACCAUCAUCCCUAACGUCUUUGUUGGCCCCAUCCUCUUCAAAGCUAGGACUAUCUCCUCUAUAUACCGCUCUAUCAACAAUAAAUUUGCCUCGUUUGAUAUACGAUUUCCCACACCUUCCAAAAUAUGAUCCGUAACCCAUGUUCCAUUCGUCAUGAAAAGUAUUUGAAAAUAGCUAAGAGCGAUCUCUUUCAUCUCUGUCUCAUCCGCUGUCACUCUCCCAUCCUCGAACUGUAACCCUCCAAUUCUAUUUAUCCAACGACGUUGUGAAGCAUAGUUAUGAAAGAAUGUUGUAUUCUUAUCCCCUAACCACAACUAAUUAGCUCUGGCUCUUUGUUCCCAAAACAUUUCAUCUUUGUCAAUCUCCAAAUUUAAUGGGAUUUUUGUAUCAAUCAACUUUUCAAAGAUGUCAUUGUCUCUUUCUUUCUCCAGUAACUCACCCAAUUUAUUCGUCAAGCCAUUUUUAAUUCCACUCCUUUUCUUUCUUAUCAUCAUUGCCCAAUCACACAAAACCUCCUUUGCGCGCUCCAAUUUUGUGCACACAUCUCCACCAACCUCUUCCCACAACCUUUUAACCUUCUCUUCGAAUGACUCCUCCAUUACCCACCAAGCCUCAAACCAGAAUAUUUUUGGCCUUUGAUUCAUCUCCUAUCGCUCUAGUUGAAUAAGGAAAGGACAAUAAUCUGAAUACGAAUAUGGAAGAUGGCGAAUCCCCAAGUUUAGAAUCAAAUUCAUCAUUCUUUCAUUCACCACUCCCCUAUAUAACCUUUCUCUAAUGUUUGUUUCUAGAAGAUUACCCCUCUCCCAAGUGAACCAUGGUCUAGAGUAUCCAACAUCUACCAAAUGGCACUCCUCUAAAACCCUUUAAAAUAAUUCCAUUCUUCUCUCAUCCCUUGGUACUCCGCCUAUCUUCUCAAACAAGUACAUAAUCUCAUUAAAGUCCCCACAUACCAUCCACAAGAGAUUUUGCGAACACCCCAAAGUUUUAAGUAAAUUCCAAGCAUCAUCUCUUCCUUGGGCAUAAGAGGCCCCAUAAAACUCAAUAAAUUUCCAUUGUUUGUUAUACUCAAGUUCUUGAACAUCCACAUCAAUAUGACGAACUAAGUAACUUCUAAGAACGACUGUAAUAUCCCCUCUCCAAGCCAAACUUAACCCACCUCUAGACCCUUUAGUUGAAACUUCAAAACCACUUGAGAAACCACAUCUCCUAUUAACACUUUCCAUUAUUCUAUUAUUCAAUUUAGUCUCUAUGAAGAAGACUAUCUGGAGAUUAUACAUCUUCAGCAAAUGCAGAGUCCUUAUUGCCCAUGGACUCCCCAAACCACGAAAAUUCCAAUAUAAGAUUUUCAGUACGACCGAUCGGCUUGCCUCUUGACAGUCGCCGAUAUAAAUUAGGAUCUCUCCACCAGUCUCUCCUCCCUUACCACAAUUGAAUUUUUUAUCCCAAAAAUAACAUAAUUACCAAUCUCCUUUCGAGGUCUUUUAUUGCCAUCUACACUUCCGAUUGGUGUCUCAUUCACAUCAUGUUUCAUAUCUGCAUGCCCCUUAUCUGCACCUCCUUCCCUCUUUCCCCUGAGGCAUCACUCACUUCCCUUUCCAGAUUAAGACCUAGUAUAGGAUCCAAUUUCACCUUAAAAUCCCAUUUGUCACAUUCCCCAAAACCACUCCCCAAAUUCGAUUACUUGAUGUUACUCCCAAACCCCCCAUCAACAUUUUCUACCAACCAUACACUACUCAUCGCAUUAGCUCUUCUAGAUUGUGCUCGAAGAGAUAGAUCCCAACUCAACUUUAUAGACUCCUCCCCUUUUUGACAUUUUGAUUUGGCAAAAAGAAUCGCUAUGUCUUAAUCGACCACAAUAAAAGCAAAACAUUGUUAACUUCUCAUAUCUAAAACUGACAUAAGCACAAUUCUCGGGUGCAAACAUAAUCUUUUUCCUUCCUCUUCAAAAGCCUCCUCACAUCCAACUAGACCCUAAUUCGAAGGAAAUUCCUCACACCCUUACUCAUACUUUUUGAAUCGUAUUCUAAGAAUUUGCUUAGAAAAUCUCCCAAUUGUCGCACAACCGCUUCCGAAAACAACCCCAUAGGUAACUCAUGAACUUGGGCCCCAAAAUUAACAAAGAUUAAUGGAACCUUCACCGGAUCUUCCCCAAUCUCCAAGAGAUGGAACACCAACAGAUGAUUAUUGAAAGUCCAAUGCGCACCAUUAACAACUCACUCCAGAUCCAUCUUAUGAAAAAACCUGAAAAAAAUCUUUUAUCCCCAAAAUCUGAUAUCUGAACUCCUCUAACCCAAACAUUCGCGAUGCACUACAGCAAAACAGGCUUUUAGCAGCUUUCAUUGCAAAACACAAGGGAAAUGAUGAUGUUUAGCCCUAUCCUACGCUUCAAUUAUGUUGAAACUCCAAUUAUUAGUAAAAAUCAUGUUCUUUAGCAGCGUUUGUGAAAAAAAAAUCGUUAAAAGUCAUUCUCUAUAGUGGUGUUUGUGACAAAAGCACCGCUAAAGGUCAAUUUUUUAGCGGCGUUGUCUUUAGCGGCGUUUAUGGAAAAACGCCACUAACUUUGGAAGAUUUAUAACAUUCAAUUUUCAUCCAUAUACAACCCUUCUUGUAGCAUGAAAUCCAACCAAAAACAACAAAUCUAAAUAAUACUUCAAAUUCAACGAAAGAUAUAUGAUAUAAAUUGAUAAUUGAAGUAUAAUUCAAAAUAUUCUUACAAUAAUGUUAAAAGUUACAAUGUUAAAAAUAUUCUUACAAUAAGAAAACAAAUGUCUAAGAUGGCAAGCUCAAAAAUAGCUCGUGCCCGCUCUGUUUCAACUAAUGAUCUUUCUAACUCAGCAUAUUUGCUCCAUCCAUAGCAGUUCUCAAGUGCCCACUCCAAAUACUUCUCAUACAGUUUUCGGCAACGGUCAAUAUUACCAAGUUGCAGCUCAAUUUCAAUAUACUUCUUAAAGAUCUGAAUUUGAACAAAACAACAUAAUGAGAAAAGUUCAUGUUAAAAGUAGUCAAAUUUAUAAACUUUCAGCAAGCUGAAACAUUUACAUUAUCUUUAGGUGCCUUUCCAAAAGCAUUUCCCAAAAUUUGUCGCGCACCUUUGAGAUUGAGCUGACUUAUUUCAAACUGUGCAGCAAGAAGCCAUAUCUUUGCAAAAGAAAACUUCUCGUGUGGAAUAAGCUUAAGGCACUCCCUGGAAAAUUUUUAAAUUAAUGAGGAACCAUUCAAAGUCUAUUAUAACCAACCACAAAUAUGAAUGGUGAAAAGCACCAAAAAACUGAAUGAUUCUUUAGAAUACACCAUAUGCCUAUGAAUGAGGGAGACAAGAUAAAAAUCAAAAUAACAUUUGAUGCAUGCUAUAAAUGUAACAAUAAUUCACUACCUACUGACUACUAUAAAACCACCACCAUAUAAUCACAAGAUAAUACAUUAAGUCAUGUCAAAGAGAAACAGUGCAAAUGCUGAAAUAUGUUCUCUCUAUUUUAAACAACACCAUUUCUCAUGACAUUUUAGAUAUAAUGAGUUGUCUUACAAAUAAACCAGAAGAGAGGCACCAAUACAAAACAAGGAAUAUGGAACAAAAACGCUACCAUGAAAAGAACGAAGAUACCAAUAACACAAAGAAAUAGAACACUUAAUGAGAAAAAAGGUGCAACAAAGCUAACGUCGAAUGUUAAAUUUUAGAUUUUCUUCCUUCCUUUUCCCUUAUUAUAUGCACGUUACAGGGUAAUGAAAUGAACUGUUAGUAGAACAUGAAACUAAAACAUGCAAACAUUCAAAUAGUAGGCAAUUGGCAAAUUUCUUGCAGAGUUCAGUUGACAAGAUUUAUUAGUAAAGCAAUUAUCUCACUUGCAAUUAGCAACAGUAGCAACCAACAGAACCAUAAAUCCAUUGCAAGAACAUAAAGAUACCUGUACACAUCUCUCGUUCGCUCCAUAUCCCCAGCAUCAAGCUCUUCAUAUAAAUCAUAAUUAAUUCUAAAUUACAAGUAAACCAUAAGUUGGUUAGUACAGAACUAUAAUAUUAAACCAAGCAUACAACCAUUAGGCAUACAAAAACUCACCACAAGUAAAUAUAUCUCUGCCAAUAUCGCUUCUCCUUAGCUGGAGGAACAUUAGCAAUAGCUCUCUCAUAAACCUCUCUAAUCCUCCCCUUAUUGCCUACACUCUCUUCCAACCUUAUAUAAUCAAACCAAGCAUCAUAAUUCCAUGGAUUUUUCCUGACUUCAUCCUUAUACUGAAACCUUCUCUUCCCCACAAUGGCAUGCUCAAUCCCUUCCUUAUCUCUAUAUUGCUUCUCAAAAGCCACAAACUUUCUAUACAAAUCCUCUGCACUAUUUUUGGGUAUAUGAUCGAGAGCAAACUUGUAAAUACAACGAGAUCGUUCCAUUUUCUUACACCGUUCCUCAAAUUCAGCGAAUGCAACGAAUAGCUGCUCUGCAUCUUCUUCAUUCGCCAGCUUCUCCACCGCACGUUCGUACACAUUCCUAGCUUGUACAAUCUCCCCAUUCUUCAUCUCGAAUUUUUUUUAAUUCUGCACGGUGGAAUUUUUUUAUAUAAAACAAAUAGUUAAAAGUUUUUAAUUUACUCCAAACUUUACAUGCAUGAUCUAUAUAAAUGAAGUGUGAAAUAUGACCAUUGAAAUAUUAAAAUAUUAAUUGUACAAAAAAAAUAUUAAAGUGUGUAAAACUACUCUAAUUUUAGAAUAUUAUAAGUGGAUUUCUCCUUAUAUAUAUAUUUAAAAAUCAUAAUUUUUAAUUUAAGUAUAAUUUUGAUAUAGAGGGAGAGAGUGUGUAAUAAGUUUGAGAGGAUGAAUGCUCUACUGCCCCAAUUCACAUGAAAUAUAAACAACUUCCAGAAAAUGGCUUUCCUGAUUCUUUUAAAUUAGUAAAUACUUUAAGAAAGAGCAACCAUAUACAGGGGACAGAGACUUACAAAAAGCCAAAGCUUGUUUGUCUCCUAGAAGUGCUCCCUUUCUUGAUUCCUCUCUAACUUACUUAUAUUAAACUUUGACAGUAUUGUAUAGACAAAAAUCUUGCAUGGUUAUAAGAUAUUUAAGCAAAGCCAAGAUCACCAUACUGAAAAUUAAUUGUUCGAACUCGCAUUGGACAAUAAAGGCUUGUUUAUAUUUUAGCAAAAAUGCCGUUGCUACUUUCUUGAAGUAUUUACUAAUUUAUUAAAGAAAAAAACAAGUAAAAGAGAAACGAGCUAAAAGGAAAAUUAUAUUUAUUUAUACCAAUUUAAACUUAUAAACUACACUAUUUUGAUUUGCAUACAGAUAAGCAUCCAUAGUGCAGUUCAGAUUCGACUAAAUUGAACAAAGUUUUAAGAAAUUUCAGACCCUAAAAAGCGAAAGUAAGAAGGGAAAAAAAAGACAGAUGAGUACUUGAAACGAUAUUUCUUUGUUUUUUUAGUCGAUAUCGAAGUUAUCAAAAUCGUCUUUGAAGUUGUUGAAGAAAUUGGCAUCGGCGAGCUUGUUGUCGAAAGCGAUGACGCCUUCGCCGAAGAUCUCCGGUGUGACAACAUCGUCGGCUUCCAUGGAUGAACCUUGGCCGUCUAGGUCCAUCACGAAUUCCAUCGGCAUCGGCCUCAUCUUUCCCCCCUUUUUCUUUAGGCUUUUAGGGAUUUCUUUCGUUGGUUUAAUUUUAAUUAUUUUUGUUGAAAUAUCACGCUGAGGUUAUAUAGAGGAUGUUUACCCCAAAACGAUGUCGCUUAUAGGUCCUUUCAGAAACGCAACGUUUCAGCCUUUAAUUGGGAAGAUGUGUUUUUUUUCUUUUAGCAUGACCUUUUUGUCACUCUAAUUUGAUCAUUCAUUUAAUUUUAUAUUUUUUUAAUUAUUAAA